UACGUAGGGUGCGAGCGUUGUCCGGAAUUAUUGGGCGUAAAGGGCUCGUAGGCGGUUUGUCGCGUCGGGAGUGAAAUCAUCUGGCUUAACUGGGUGCUUGCUUUCGAUACGGGCAGACUAGAGGUAUGCAGGGGAGAACGGAAUUCCUGGUGUAGUGGUGAAAUGCGCAGAUAUCAGGAGGAACACCGGUGGCGAAGGCGGGUCUCUGGGCCGAUACUGACGCUGAGGAGCGAAAGCGUGGGGAGCGAACAGG
rnacentral:rRNA from 1 species